rnacentral:rRNA from 1 species
AGCACCACAACAGGUGGAGCCUGCGGUUAAUCGGACUCAACGCCGGGAAACUCACCAGAUAAGACAGCUGAAUGAUAGUCGGGCUGAAGACUCUACUUGACUAGCUGAGAGGAGGUGCAUGGCCGUCGUCAGUUCGUACUGUGAAGCAUCCUGUUAAGUCAGGCAACGAGCGAGACCCACGCCAACAGUUGCCAGCUCGUCCUCCGGGAUGGUGGGGACACUGUUGGGACCGCCUCUGCUAAAGAGGAGGAAGGAAUGGGCAACGGUAGGUCAGCAUGCCCCGAAUUAUCUGGGCUACACGCGGGCUACAAUGGGUGGGACAAUGGGUAUCGACACCGAAAGGUGAAGGCAAUCUCCUAAACCCAUCCGUAGUUCGGAUUGUGGGCUGCAACUCGCCCACAUGAAGCUGGAAUCUGUAGUAAUCGUGUCUCAAAAUGGCACGGUGAAUAUGUCCCUGCUCCUU